UUUUUUUGUUUUUUUAUUUUUGCUUAUUUUGUUUUGGCCGCCCCCAUGACAUGUGGAAGUCCCCAGGAACUCCCACUGUGGCUCAGUGGGUUAAGAAUCUGACACUGUGUCCAUGAGGAUGUGAGGUCAAUUCCUGGCCUCAAUUAGUGGGUUAAGGAUUUGGUGUUGCCACAAGCUAUGGUGUAGGUCACAGAUGCGGCUUGGAUCUAGCACUGCUGUGGCUGUGGUGUAGCUGCAGCUCUGAUUCGACCCCUAGUCUGGUUACUUCCAUAUGCCGUGGGGGGGGGGACAAUAAAAAAAAAAGUCCAAAGGUGUAUUUAUUCUCUAAAUAACUACAGAUUGCCAAGAUGUUCCAAUCAGCACAGGAACAACAGAAGAUGCGUUCCUAAAAAGCUGCUCCGCUGUUAAAACGAAUCAUUUACCCACUGACUUAUAACAUCACUCCCAACAAUUUUAGCAGCUUUUACUUUUUUUAAGCUAGCAUUAUCUAAAUCUGUGAACAAAUGUUGAGACUAGAAAGGCUGCCGUUGUAAAGCUCUUCUUUCACAGCUGAAGUGCAGAAAGCUGCUCAGCAGCGUAGCAUUUUCCUGAAUAUGUCAAGUUUUAAAUUAUGGGCAACGUGCGCAGUCAGCUCCUAUAUUUAAGAAUAGGAUCGGAGGACACGAAGGUCCCUCACUGAUUUGAGCAGCACCUUUUAAAUGCCAUCCCUUCAGGGCUAGGCACCAAGACGCUUCCCUGCUCCCCGAUUCCAUCCAUGCCCAGGAAAAGCUCCCUGCCCCCUUCACUUCUCAUCUCUGUGGGUCACAGCAGCCACGCCCAAACCCACGUGUCACCAGUGGGGAAGCCAUCUCAAGCCCUUCCAAUGACCCUUCUGCCCAUUCUCAGGAAAACCACCGCAACGUUAAGGUCCUCAUUAAGUGGUGUCACAGGCAACCAUCCCCAGACCUGCCUAUGCAUCAGGCUCACCUGGGGUGUUCCUUUCAACUCCCAGUCCGGAGCCCAGACGGACUGAUGGACACUGUCAAGGGGUCCGACUCAGUCAAGUUUAAGAACUAGCCCUGCCGACAUAAACAACCCAACUGGCGUGGCCCCUCCUUCCAACCCUGGUGGUGAGGGCGAGGAAGAGACAGGUCCUCACAACUCUGUAACCACAACUGGAGGUGGCCGCCAUGAAGGCAACGACUGAGGUCAGUCGACCUGAAGAGCAACAGUGUGACCAGAAAAAGCCUCUUGAGAAGGUGACAUUUAAGCUGAGCCCUAGAGGAUCAAAGACUCAGGAGUAAAAACAGCAAAAGGAAGGAGAUGGCAGGUGGACAAGGAGGAGGGUCCAGAGGUCAGAAAAGCUGAGGCAGAGACAGAAACUUGUGAGGUAUCAAAACAAUCCGUAAACAGCAUUUAAAACAGGCAAGAACAGGGAGUUCCCCGGUGGUCUAGUGGUUAGGAAAUAGCACUUUCACAACUGUGGCUGGGGUUCAAGCCCUGGUCUGGGAACUGAGAUCCUUCAUUAAGCUGCUGCAAGAUGCAGAAAAAAGAAAAAAAAAAAACACAACACAGAUGGAAGUAGACAUGACCACCCAAGGAGAGCCCAAAGAGAGCCCAAGAAGAGAUGAAUCCUGGACUCAAGACACCAGACAACCGAGGGCGUGCAGGGCAGGCAGAGGAGGACCCUGGAAGGAAACCAAGGACAGACAAAACGGCAGAAGGCGAACCAGGAACUAAGAGUGCCUUUCAAAAAGGUGGUGAUCGAGUUUGAGUUCAAUGCCGAGAGGCACACUAUGUUGAAGACAAAGAAAAAUGACCACUUCAGGGAGCUUUCCCACCCUGUAAGCUCACAGCCAAGGAAAAUGGAAAUAAGAGGGACAGAGACCCUCUAACGGCUCCUCCCUCCUCUGACUCCACGCUGACCAAGAAGCUGCUCUGCUCCUGAACUUCAGCUCUGUGAGACAUCCAGAGUCCGGAAGGAACAUUUACCUUUUCUACCCAAGUUCUUUCUACUGGUUUCUCCAACAUGCGACUGGUUUUCUUUUUUGGCCACACCCACGCCAUAGCUGUCACCAAUCACAGCAGUGACAAUACCGGAUCCCCAACCCACUGAGCCACAGGAGAACUCCAACUGAGACUUCUUUUUACAAACCUGUCCAUGGCGGGAUGGUAAAGACAUGAGAUACGAAAUCAGGAACGCAAGGACUGGGCCAAGGAAGAAGCUCCAGGUAACUGCAGUGGGCUGAAAAGUGUCCCCCAAAUAUUCUUGUCCACCUGGAAAUCUAUCUGUAAAUGUGACUUUAUUUGGAAAAAAGAUCUUUCCAGGUAUAAAUAGUUCUAACUCACAAUGAGGUUACACUGGAUUAGGCCCCCAUCCAAUGACUGGCAUCCUUUUAAGAGCAGAGACAGACACAUAAAGAAGGCCACUUAAAGACAGACCCAGAAACUGGAUUGCCAGCAACCACCAGAAGCCAGAAAGAGGCAUCAGAGGGAGCUGCCCUGCCAACACCUUGCUUUCAGACUCAGCCUCCAAGAAGGGCGAGAGAAUAAACUUCUGCCAUUGGAAGCCACUCAGUUUGCGGUGGGAGUUAACGGCAGCCCCAGGAAACGGAGCGUCUCAUUUCAGAGCCAAAGAGAAGAACCCCUGAAAACCCUCAGUGAGAUAGGAAUAAAGAGCGGGGUUUGCACAGAGAAGCCGUGAGGCACAGAAGAAGGCAGGCGAGGAGGGCAGAGGCGACAGGCAGUGGCGGUGAUGGAAGUGGGCACGUCAGCGCCCGCACCUUGCUAAGCCCCGCAGUACGCAUUCUAUUUGUACCGUCUUGUUUCAUCCUGGGCACUACCCUAGGAGAUGGGAAAACUAGGAGGAGGUAAAUAACUUGUUCACAGCUCCUGAGCUCUGACUCUGCAGAGCCGGGAUGCCUGGCACGUGGGCACGGAAAAACCACAGGGAGAAGGAACCC
rnacentral:lncRNA from 1 species